AAAGAGCACACAAAUAUAAAAACUUUGUAAGAUCUGAGAAGAAACACCACCAACAGAUCAUAAAACAAAAUUGGAAGUCAAUCUCCAAAAGUUAAAACUUCCAAUAAUUUAGGGGUUAAAAUUG
rfam:Otolemur garnettii contig040080, whole genome shotgun sequence.